CACUCCUGCGGGAGGCAGCAGUGGGGAAUAUUGGACAAUGGGCGCAAGCCUGAUCCAGCCAUGCCGCGUGAGUGAUGAAGGCCCUAGGGUUGUAAAGCUCUUUCACCGGUGAAGAUAAUGACGGUAACCGGAGAAGAAGCCCCGGCUAACUUCGUGCCAGCAGCCGCGGUAAUACGAAGGGGGCUAGCGUUGUUCGGAUUUACUGGGCGUAAAGCGCACGUAGGCGGACUAUUAAGUCAGGGGUGAAAUCCCGGGGCUCAACCCCGGAACUGCCUUUGAUACUGGUAGUCUUGAGUUCGAGAGAGGUGAGUGGAAUUCCGAGUGUAGAGGUGAAAUUCGUAGAUAUUCGGAGGAACACCAGUGGCGAAGGCGGCUCACUGGCUCGAUACUGACGCUGAGGUGCGAAAGCGUGGGGAGCAAACAGGAUUAGAUACCCCGGUAGUCCCA
rnacentral:rRNA from 1 species